UACGUAGGGGGCCAGCGUUGUCCGAAGUUACUGGGCGUAAAGAGCGUGUAGGCGGGUCUUUAAGUGAGAGGUGAAAGGUUCAGGGCUCAACCCGAACACUGCCUUUCAUACUGGGGACCUUGAGGGCGGGAGAGGCGAGUGGAAUGGUCGGUGUAGCGGUGAAAUGCGUAGAUAUCGAUCGGAACACCCAUGGCGAAGGCAGCUCGCUGGCCCGCAUCUGACGCUGAGACGCGAAAGCGUGGGGAGCAAACAGG
rnacentral:rRNA from 1 species